CUGUGACGCUUUGUAAUUUUGUCAAAGGCUGUGAACAUAGUGGUGUGCUGCUACAACUCCUGUGGAAGAGGAUGCAACAGAUGAACUCAUAAAACUGGUUUUCCUAGUUUGGAAACCAUCUAGGCUGUAUUGUACUUUAGACUUAUUUGGGAUCCUGUUUCUUGUGGUGAGUAUAAGUGGAUGGACAAAUGCAUUUUGGCUUGUUCUUCAGCCCCAGGCAUCUUUGUUUUAUAGGUUGGGCGUGAUGCUGGUAGGGCAAGCAGUGUAUAUAGGUAACCUUGGACUGCUUAAGCUUGCGGCCAGUAGGUGAAUACAAGAAUAGGUGUGCAUUCAUAAGAGCAGUGGCUCUUAACCCUGAGCAUGUGUUUGUUUUUACAGGUUUUCCUGCUAAUGCGGUCUGCUGGAGCUUGAGAUUGGUAUGUUUGUUUAUGAAUGUACACCUAUUCCUCUACUGUGUUUUUUCAGCCCAUGCGUGUAUUUGUUUGGCAGGUUUUGGGAACAGUAUAGCCUUUGUGGUACUUCAGCUUUACCUGGCAUCCUGUUUCUCUUUGGUGAGUAUAUGCAUGGAUAAAGAAAUUCCUAUUAGUGUUUUCAUGCUUCUGCCCAGGAAUCUUUGUUUUACAGGUUGAUCAUGAUCUUGGACUGCUUGAGUCUGAGACCACUAGGUAAGUAGAAUAGGUCAGGACAGUGAUUUUUAAGCCCGGGCAUGUUUUUGUUUUUACAGGUUUUCCUGGUUUGAAAAAAGUCUAGUCACAGUGGUACUUUUGCAUUAAUUAGGACCCUGUUUCUUCUGGUAUGUACAAAUGGAUGGACAAGUUAAUUUUGCACUGUCAUUCUAUAAAUUGGUCUUCUUUGUUUUAUAGGUUGGUCAUGCUGUAAAAAAGGCGAGCAGUGUAGUCCGGUAACCUUGGACUUGAUGGAGUUUCUGACCAGUAGAUGAGUAAAAGAAAAGGUGUGUAUUCAUAAGGAAAUUGAUUCUUUAGCAUGGGUAUGUUUUUGUUUUUACAGGUUUUCCUGGUUUGGGGAAAAAAGCCUUAUUUUGGUAAGUAUGAGCGUAUAGAGAAAUACAAUUUGGAAUUGUUGUUUUUUUGACUAGGGCAUCUUUGUUUCUCUGUUUUUGGUAGGUAGAUGAGUCGCUUGAGAAAUACGUGUUUUCAUUAUUCAGCCCAGAAUUCUUUGUUUUACAUGUCGAUCGUGCUGUAGGAAAGGCUUACAGCAUGGGCAGGUAGCCUUGGACUGCAAGAGUUUGUGACCAGUAGAUAAGUAGAAUAGGGGUGCAUUAAUAAAAAAAAAAAAAGUGAUCCAUUAGCCCAGGCAUGCAUUUGGUUUUACAGGCUUUCCUGAUUUGGGAAAUGUUUAAUCGAUGUGGUACUUCAUUCUUGGUGUUUUUUUCUGGGAUCUUGGUAAGUAUGAGUGGGUGGACAAAUUUGGGCAGUUUGGUCUUUCAUUCUUCAGCCUAUCUGGUUUUUUUUUUUUUUUUUACAGGUUCGGUCCAUGUAUAAGAGUGUAGUCUGGUAACUAUUCCUCUACUAAGUGUUUUUUUUUUUUCAGCCCAUGCAGGUAUUUGUUUGGCAGGUUUUGGUAACAGUCUAGCCUUUGUGGUACUUCAGUCUUACCAGGGCUCCUGCUUUUCUUUGGUGAGUAAAUGCGUGGAUUAAGAAAUUCCUAUUGGUCUUUUCAGUCUUCAGCCCAGGAAUCUUUGUUUUACAGGUUGAUUAUUAUGUAGAAAAAUGCAAACAACAUAGGCAGGUAGCCUUGUACUACUCGAGUCUGAGACGACUAGGUAAGUAGAAGAAUAGGUGUGCAUUCAUAAGGAUAGUGAUUUUUAAACCUGGGCAUGUUUUAAUUUUCCAAGUUUUUCCUGGUUUGGAAACCGUCUAGUUACAGUGGUACUUCAGCCUUAAUUGGGGUCUUGUUUCUUCUGGUAAUUAUGAGUGAAUGUACAAAGUCCUAUUGACAUUGUGAUUCUUCAGGUCAGGCAUGUAUUUGUUUUGCACAAAAAAGGUACUGUUUCCUUGGCAGGUUUUUUGGGUGCAGUUUCUUUUGGUAAGUAUUAGUGGAAGACCAAAUUAAUUUUGGCAUUGUAAUUCUUUAGUCCAGUCAUCUUUUUUUUUCAGGUUGGCACUGAUGUAGGAAAGGCGCGUAAAUUUGUCUGCUGCGGCUUGUGAUCAGUAGGUGAGUAUAGAGGAGUAAGGGUGCAUGAGGAGACUGUAUCUCUUAGGCCAGUCAUGUAUUUUACAGGUUUUCCUGGUUUGGGAAAUGUGAUACUUCAUCCUUCGCCGUUUUUUUGGGAUUGGACAGACAAAUGGAUUUUGGUGUUGUCAUUCUUCAGCCUGUGUAUCUAUUUUGCAGGUUGGGCCCAUGUGUAAGCAAGGGUAGUUGGUAGAGGAAUAGGUGUGCAUUCAUAAAGAAAGUGCUUUCUCAGCCCAGGAAUGUAUUUGUUUUGGGAACAGUCUAGCUUUUGUGGUACUUCAGCAUCACCUGGGAUUCUGCUUCUCUUUGGUAGGUAUUUGCGUGGAUGAAGACGUUGCUAUUGGUGGUUUAAUUUUUCUUCCAAGAAAUCUGUUUUACAGGUGAAACAUGAUGUACAAAAGGCAAGCAACAUACAGUAGGCAGGUAGCCUUGUACUGCUUGAGUCUAAGACAACUAAGUAAGUAGAUGAAUAGGUGUGAAUAUAUAAAAAAAAGUGAUCCUUUAGUCCAGGCUUUAUUUCAGGUUUCCCUGGUUUGGAAAAUGUCUAGUCACAGUGGUGCGUCAGCCUUAAUUGGGAUCUUGUUUCUUCUGGUAAGUAUGAGUAAAUGUACAAAGUCCUAUUGACAUUGUGAUUUUUCAGGUCAGGCAUGUAUUUGUUUUUACAGGAUUUCCUCAUAUGAAGCCUUUAGCCACUUUGGUACUUUUUCCGUGGCAGGUUUUUUGGGAUGCAGUUUUCUUUGGUAAGUAUGAGUGGAAGACCAAAUUAAUUUUGUCAUUGUAAUUCCAGUCCAGUCAUCUUUGUUUUUCAGGUUGGCACUGAUGUAGGAAAGGCAAGCAGUGGAGGCCGCGUAAUCUUGGCACUGAUGUAGGAAAGGCAAGCAGUGGAGGCCGCGUAAUCUUGUCUGCUGCGGCUUGUGAUCAGUAGGUGAGUAGAGGAGCAUGAGAUGAGUAGACUGUAUCUUUAGCCCAGGCAUGUAUCUGUUUUUACAGGUUUUCCUCAUAUGAAACAUUUAGAGAUUGGGUACUUGGGUACUUGGCAGUUCUCUUGGGAUUCUCUUCUUUUGGUAUGUAUGAGUGUUUGAAGAAAUUAAUUUUGCAUUGUCAUUUUUCAUGCCGGGCAUCUUUGUGUUAUAGGUUGAGCCCUUUUAUAGGAAGGGAUAGCAGCAGAGGCAGACAACCUUGGACUGCUGGAGCACGUUAUAGGUAGGUGAGUGCAUAAGGAGUCUGUGUAUCUAGGAAUGUAUUUGUUUUUACAGGUUUUCCUGGUUUGGGAAAUAUUUAGUCAAUGUGGUAUGUCAUCCUUCACCGGUUUCUUGGGUGUGGAAGGACAAAUGCAUUUUGGUGUUGUCAUUCUUCUGACUGUGCAUCUGUUUUGCAGGUUGGGCCCAUGUGUAAGAAAGGGUAGACCGUAGAGGAAUAUGUGUGUGCAUUUAUAAAAGUGUUUUUUUAGCCCAGGAAUAUAUUUGCUUUGGGAACAGUCUAGCCUUUGUGGUACUUCCGCAUCACCUGGGAUUCUGCUUCUCUUUGGUAGGUAUGUGCAUAGAUGAAGAAAUUGCUAUUGGUGUUUUCAUUCUUCAGCACAGAAAUCUUUGUUUUACAGGUUAAACAUGAUGCACAAAAGGCUAGCGGCAUAGGCAGGUAGCCUUGGACUGCUUGAGUUUGUGAAUGGUACAUAUCAUGCUUCUGGUACGCAUGGAACUUUCUAAUGGUUUGGGAUUCUUCGGCCCAGGCAUGUGUUCAUUUUUACAGGUUCUCCUUGUUUGGGAAAGAUCUAGCCACUGGCACUUCAUUCUUGGUACGUUUCUUGGCAUCCUGUUUCUUUUGGUAGUUAUGAGUGGCUUGAGGAAUUAAUUUUGCAUACCUAAUUUAGCAUAAGAGACUGUUUGUUCGGCCUAGGCAUGUAUUCAUUUUUCCAGGUUGUCUUGGUUUGGGAAACAUCUAGCCAAUGUGUUACUACAUUCUUACUUCAGUCUUUGGGAUCCUGUAUCUUUUGGUAAGUAUGAGUGGAUAGACAAAUUUCUUUAGGCAUUAUGAUUCUUCAGCCCAGGAAUGUAUUUGUUUUUACAGGUUUUCCCUCAUGAAACAUGUAGCCACAUUGGUAAGUCAUCCUGUGCAAGUUACUUGGAAUGCAGUUUCUUUUGGUAAGUAUGAGUGGAAGAACAAAUUAAUUUUGGCAUUGUGAUUCUUCAGCCCAAGUAUCUAUUUGUUUUAUAGCUUGAGAAAUUACACGGGAAAAAGUCCAGAGAUGGUUAAGCUUCACCCUUGGCUGGUUGCUGCCUGGUUUGAUGAAGUCCCCAGCCUUGCAGCAGUUUCCUUAUGAUGAUGCCCCACCAACUCCACACCCAAGGCAACAGCCCUUCUUGCUUGGACCGAACAAGAUGAGCGGAUGAGAAACCUGAUGUCUCCUCUUUAUCACCGUGCCAUGAUGUAUCCAGUUGCAUUUUAUAUUUGGAUAUGGAUUGUAAAAUGUUUGUUUUUCAUUAAACACAUUUUUAUUUGACUUUCAA